CUGGCAGAACGUCGGUCGGGGUCGACGAUUGGUGCGGGUGGCCGGACGCCUCCUCCCCCCCGGCAUGGUCCGGGAGAUGUGGAGGGUCCGGAUGGAUGGAGCAUGGAUGGAUGGAUGCAUGCAUGGAGGGAUCGGCCGGGGCAAUGGGCGCCAACUCUAAUAAAUUGAUGUAAUGGAUGUAAUGUAUAGAUGUAUUAAUGUAUUAACGUAUGGUCGUAUUCAUGUAUUCAGGUAUUAGUGUAUUGAUGUAGUAAUGUAUUAGUCCAUCGAUGUAUUAACGUAUUGCCGUAACGGUGUAUUAAUGAAUUAAUGUAUUUCCGUAUCGUUGUUCUGACGGGUCUCGCGCGCGUUUGUCUCGUACACCUUCGUGCACUGUCGCACAAAACCAUGUGCGCGUUUCCCCGCCCCGUUCCACUACGACACCGUUGCACCAUCACUGCGUCCCGCACGUGAUGGCGCAACCGUUAGUCGCCACAAAUUUGCGGCUCCUAACGUUUUGGAACCCCGGGGCAAGUGUAGGAAAGAGCCAGUUCUCACCAGUCUACAUUAGUUGGCAUUCUCUAAUAGUUCGCGGCACGAACGCAAUCACAAUACACCAUUAACAUCCCAUAUAACGGUGAUUCCGCCGCGAUGUCCACCUGGCCCGUCUCUAGGGACCAGAGACUUGUUGACGCGAAAUGCGCAGGUAAGACACGCUUUGGCUCUCAUCCUCUAGGCAGCACGGUCCAGUUUCCACCAAGCUCCUCCACCCUCUCCCAGCCACACUCGUCCGUUUCUCCGUCUGCCUUGAUAUCCUCACACGAGUCCGCCUAACUAUCUUCUCGUAUUCUCCCGUACCCUCACGUAUCCCCGCACGUAUCUGCUGCCUGCCGUUUUCUCCCCGGCCGAGCGUCUCCGAGAUCAGCCGCGGUAAGCACGAUCUAAGCACGAGUUGUACCGCGAUCAACGUCACCUGUUUGCAACGAGACGCACGUAAACUACUACAGACGCCAUCGUACAGAGCGUCUCCACUCCGCCAUGUUCACAUUCCCGCAUCGCCUCGCAACCGCCCGAACACAACCAGCAGGACCAACUACCAGCCCCCCCCCCCCCACCAGGCUUGGC